GGGACACCCCUUACCUGACUCAUAUCGCUUGAGGUCAGCAUCAGAAUGAUUUCCACUUCCGGGUCAUCCAGACGCCAUUUUACCUGAUUACUCCAUGAGGUUUUCUAAGCUGAGCUGUGUCAGUAAUCCAGCCACAGGCUUUUCCGGCCUACCACCUUCUUUCUUCAAUCUAUCGCUGUGGAUGGUGUCCAAGUGACUCACAAACAGUAAGUCGACCUACCCGUUACGCCAGGCAUCAGUCCCACGGCACCAUGCAAGGGUCAGGUCCUCACUUUACUGCUGCAUUUUGUCUAAGUCUGUUCUAAAACCAUUGCAUGUUCAUGCAUAUCAUUCGUUUAAACCCCC